rnacentral:misc_RNA from 1 species
AACAUCGCGCACCUGCGGGAACCUGCGGACGGAUCAUUACAGAGUUGCAAAACUCCCUAAACCAUUGUGAACGUUACCUAAACCGUUGCUUCGGCGGGCGGCCCGGGUCCUUCCCGGCGCCCAUCGGCCCUCGCGGGCGCCCGCCGGAGGUAAACCAAACUAUUGCAUUGUAUGGCCUCUCUGAGUCUUCUGUACUGAAUAAGUCAAAACUUUUAACAACGGAUCUCAGAUCGGAAGAGC